GACAGAGGGUGCAACCGUUGCUCGGAAUUACUGGGCGUAAAGCGCGUGUAGGUGGAUUGGUGUGUCAGAUGUGAAAGCCCUGGGCUCAACCCAGGAACUGCACCUGAAACUACCAGUCUUGAGUGGUGGAGAGGGAAGUGGAAUUCCUGGUGUAGAGGUGAAAUUCGUAGAUAUCAGGAGGAACACCAGUGGCGAAGGCGGCUUCCUGGACACUAACUGACGCUGAGACGCGAAAGCGUGGGGAGCAAACAGG
rnacentral:rRNA from 1 species